CUUUGUGGCGCGGAGGGUGAAGCCUCCGGAUGCCAGUCCCUCAUCGCUGGCCCGGUCGCGCUGUGGCGAAGGGGGCGGAGC
rnacentral:miRNA from 1 species